rnacentral:rRNA from 1 species
CACGUAGGGCGCAAGCGUUGUCCGGAAUUAUUGGGCGUAAAGAGCUCGUAGGCGGUUUGUUGCGUCGGCCGUGAAAACCUGCAGCUUAACUGUGGGCCUGCGGCCGAUACGGGCAGACUUGAGUUCGGUAGGGGAGACUGGAAUUCCUGGUGUAGCGGUGAAAUGCGCAGAUAUCAGGAGGAACACCGGUGGCGAAGGCGGGUCUCUGGGCCGAUACUGACGCUGAGGAGCGAAAGCCAGGGGAGCAAACGGG